rnacentral:SRP_RNA from 1 species
GCCGGGCGCGGUGGCUCACGCCUGUAAUCCUAGCAUUUUGGGAGGCCGAGGCAGGCGGAUCAUCUGAGGUCAGGAGUUCUAGACCAGCCUGGCCAACAUGGUGAAACCCCGUCUCUA